rnacentral:lncRNA from 1 species
AUUUCUGCCUUCGGCCUUGAAUUUCAAUUUGAGCUUUCAUUCCUGCUUUUGAUUUCAGUUAGCAUUUUAAUUCCAAAAUUAUUCAGAAAACAAAAAUAUCAAAAAAUGGAGAAAUUCGAGACAACUGCACAGUUCCAUCACUAGUUUUGGGAUUUCAGUUUUGGGUUUAGCAUUGUUACAGAGGUGUUUAGGCGCAGCUGUGAGGGUCAGGCGUAUAUUUGAAGUAUAUGCUGAAUUAAUCUGGGAAGGCUGCCUGUAUUUCUGAUUUUCAAAAGUGUUUUCUGGACUGUCUUGUGGUAUAUAUGGCUGAGUUUACUGCUGUUGUUGUUGCAAGUAGCUGACUCCUCUCCUUCUCUCUAUUUACAUUUCAAUUUCCAGGUAUUUGUUCUGCAGCUCUCAAGUCUAUGGAGUUGGAGUAAAUAUGCUGUCUGAAUUUGAUCUUUGAAUUCUUCAUGUUUUGUCUAAACUUAAUGUAUAAACAAUUAGCUUACUCAUGUCAUUUGGAUACUAUAUUAAUCCUGAUUUGUGUAAAUGGGACUGAUAAACUGUCAAGCAUGAGUAUGUUCCUUUCGAUUAGUAAGUGGGGAUUUAGGUGUUUAGAUUCAUGUAUGUAAUCAAGGUUGUGGACUGUGUAGACUGUGCAUUUCAUGCUUAUGCAAUUGUAGUUUACAAUUUAAGUUCCAUAGGCUGCUGAAGUUAAAUCUACAAAGUUGUAAUUGAUUUAGAGUUCAACACACAUGGUUGCUUUUAAUUUUGGUCUAAUAUGAAUUGUACACAGCUUCAUACUGGGCCAAUUUUGGGCCUGGCGAAUUUACAGUCGGCCCAGACUGUGGUUAGGCGAGAGAUCGAAUUGGGGCCCAGGUUCAUCAAGGUUUAAGAAUUUAAUUAAAUAGGAAGGAUCCCCAAGGGCUCGAUCUCUGGGUUGUGCAUUGGCCCGUCAAUAAGUAAAAUUUGUCCUCCGUUAGGCCUGGUUCUUAGAGCUCUAAGAGCCCACACCUGCAGCAUAUGUAAUGACAAUGCUUUGGACUGUAUGGGCUCAAAGCCCAUUUCCUCAGUACUUCUGCAUAAAAGUUCAAAAUUCAAGUUUAACAAAUGUUGGCCUUAACCAAUUAGGAUCUUAAGUAAUUAAUGACAUAAUUAUCUCGCUGUUUAGAUUUGGGAAGGUCGUUUAGCGAAUUUCAUGGCCUUCCCCAAAAUAAUAUUACGUUAGAAUCUUUAGACGCGAUUUAAUUAAGUCACUUUCUUAAACUCGGGUGCGCAUUGAUGCGACCCAAAUCUAGAUCUCGACAAAGUCAAAAUGUGUUGACAAUCACGGGUGCAUUGAUUGUGACGUGGUUCGAAACGCGUUUUCACGACGUCGUAAUUCUUAUAAAAUAAAUAAUGAUAGAAAAGAGUUUCACAAAUUGAGACGAGCCUCACCGCACAAAAAUAAAUAAAUGUGGGGCCCUUAGUAAAUAGUUAUCGAAAUAAUUAGAAUUUGGGAUGGCCGUUUAGCGAACUUCAUGGCUUUUCCCAAAAAUAACACUACGUUAGUAUCUUUAGGCACGAUUUAAUUAAAUAACCUUCUUAAAAUUCGGGUGCGCAUUGAUGCGACUCAAAUCCAAAUCUCGACGAAGUUGAAAUGUGUUGAUAACUACGGGUGCAUUGAUUGAGACGUGGUUCGAAACGCGUUUUCAUGACAUCGCAAUUCUUAAAAAAAAUAUAACUAUAAUAAAAGCGGUGUAAAAUUAAUAAAAGGCAAAUGAACUAGCAUGUAUUAAAAUCAGAUAAAAUCAAAUACAACAGUUAAGCGACCGUGCUAGAACCACGGAACCCGGGAAUGCCUAACACCUUCUCCAUGGGUUAACAGAAUUCCUUACCCAGAUUUCUGGUUCGCGGACUGUUAACAGAGUCAUAUUUUUCCUCGGUUCGGGAUGCAACCGGUGACUUGGGACACCAUUAAUCUCCCAAGUGGCGACUCUGAAUAAUUAAUAAUCAAAUCCUGUUCCGAUUGUCCUUUAAUUGGAAAAACUCCUUCACGCCCUUCCGAGGGUAUAGGUGAAAAAGGAGGUGUGACAAUUACCAUGAAACUAUACGUGACGGUGUAGGGAUGCAUUCCAAGACUAGGUCGAGGUUUGUGGGAUAAAGUCCUCUAUUGAGAGGACAAAUGAUCACUACUUAAAGUAAUGAGGUUAAGUCGACUCGUAUGACACUACGGAAAGCCGCCCAGACAAGUAGGGUCAAAUAGUUGUUGCUAGGUCGAUCACCUAGUAGUUGUUUAUUAUGUCGGUGUCCGUAUAGUACUCUCGGUGAAAGAUAAAGAAGACUUUCUUAUGUUUAUGUCUAAGGAGCCGAAUGUGAUUUCGAUGACUUAAUGAAAGUGAAAUGGUUUUGUAUGAUUUUAUUUAAAAUCUUAGAUUGGUAUAAAUGUUCUAAGAAUUUAUAUCAUGGUUUAUACUUCACUUGUCUUUUCAUUUGAAAUGAUAAAUAGCAUGAUUUGUAUAAUUGUUUAUCACUUUAUAUCAAAUAUUAGUUGCAUAGUUUUUGUAAAAUCUUAUCCUAGGAACUUGAGUUAGAAGAGUCUAUGACACUUAUUGAGUACCCUGGUGGUGUACUCAGCCCUCAGUGGCCUCUCUUCAGGGCUCCUCUUAUUUUACAUGUUUCAGGAUGAGUGGUAUAAUACGUGGCACGCAGACAUGGCUAUGAUAGCUCUCUUCCCAAAGUAUAUGGUGAGGCACCACUCCUAUUUCAUGGUAGAUAUCAUGUUGUCUUUUUGUUUUAUGUUAGUCGAGCAUUGACCCAAAUAUUAAGUUCUAUUCUUGGUUUGGAGGCUCUAUAGAUAAUUGUGAUGAGUUGUAAUAAUAGAUGGUACACGACAUAUAUAAAAAAAUAUUUGUUGCAUUUGAUCCCA